UACGGAGGGGGCGAGCGUUAUUCGGAAUUAUUGGGCGUAAAGGGCGCGUAGGCGGCCCGGUAAGUCAAAGGUGAAAUCCCUCGGCUCAACUGAGGAACUGCCUUUGAAACUGUCGGGCUUGAGGCCGGGAGGGGGUAGCGGAAUUCCCAGUGUAGCGGUGAAAUGCGUAGAUAUUGGGAGGAACACCGGUGGCGAAGGCGGCUACCUGGACCGGUUCUGACGCUGAUGCGCGAAGGCCAGGGGAGCAAACGGG
rnacentral:rRNA from 1 species